rnacentral:lncRNA from 1 species
UGGGCACAAGUAGAUAGAUAGGUAGAUAGAUAUGUGAAAGCAGUAACGACAUAGUAAGAAAGCUACACUACUAUGCCCAAAUCAUAUACAGUGUAUACAUGCACAAUGUGAUAAGUAAUCAGCUAACAUGCUACUAUGUCUAAGAAGUAAUGCUAUUCUCUUGUUCAUCCAAUCUCUUGGCUUACCCGAAGGUUCGCCCACGACUCACAUAGCCAUCUCGUAAGGUAAGGAGUCUCAACUCGCUCAACAAACCCGAGAUCGUCUGCGGGAACCCAUAAGGCUAUCCCUCGGGACCCCAUAAGUCUAUCUCUCGUGUGACAAACUCCGGAGCGCACUGCUUGUGCGGAGCGACCGCUUACAAGCUCUGAACAGACAUGUAAGUAUGAUCCAAUCCUCUCAACUCGAGGAUACCCUAUCCACUAGGGCUAAUAGUCACUCGAGAAUCCACCUAUCCCAAUGUUCAUAUGCAAGUGUUUAACUACAAUAAGUUCUUGUUCAAUGACUCAUCACUAGGGAAUCCGCCUAUCCCUAAGUUUAUAUGUCACAAGUGUCACUCUACACUAAGUUGUAUGCCACUCGUCCUGUUAUCUAUUGUUUACAUGCCAGUCAUUAUGUAAGAUACCGGACUUCUAAAAUUAUGAAGUUACGGUGUACAUUUGGUUGGGAAGCCAUUUGAAUGGUUUCGUGAAGUUCCGGUGAAGUUUGGAAGCAUUCGGGCAUUUCGGAUGCGCGAAAACGGAACCCGAAAGGCUAUGUUGGACCGUAGACUAAAUCCGGCAUUAGCGUGGAUGAAAAGAUGAUAAAAACGUGCUCGAAAACAUGUUUGGAGAGUCUCGAUUCGAUUUGAAAUGAAUCGGAGGUCAAACGAGCGAAAACGAGCGAAAACGGAGUGAAAACGGACGAAGGCUGAAAAUGCUGAAAAAUUGGCUAAGUCUGGAACUUUGGUCCUUCGGGGACCGGUCUUUCACUGCCUAGGACCGGUCCUAGAGACCCGAAAAUGCCCAGCUCGGGCUGCUGCAAGAAGAGACUUGUUGAGGGGGUUUCUUGCAAUUUUGCACUAGUAGAGGCCUUACGAGAGGGGAAUGAGAUCUUUUCUCUCAUUCUCUCAACCCUAAACCCUCAAGACACAUGUCUCUCUCUCUCUCUCUAAAGCUCUCCUCUCUUUCUCAUCAAGGAUGGAUCUAAGAGGAGGAUUGGGUGGAGAAGAAGGCUAGGAAGUGGAUUGUGCUCAUCUUCUUCCUCUUCCUUGGCCAUUUGGGCAAGCUUUGAGGUAAGCUUUUGUGCCCAUUAAUGGUGGAACUCUAGGGUUUUAUUCUUAAGCUCUAGAAAUGGUUUAGAUGGAAUCCUAGCAUGCCAAAUAGAUGGUUUAUGCUUGAUUCAUGAGAUGAAUUGGAGUAUUUUGCUAUAAUUGCAUCUAGGGCUCCAAUUUUGGGGUUUUCAAAAAUAUGAGAGUUUGAUCUCAAUUGACCCUCCGUAAACCUAAUUGCUAGGUCCCCGAACGCGUUCGUGCACUCGGUUUGAGCAUUCGUCGAGCCGUUGUAAAGAUAUUGAAGAAACAGACUAUUUAGCUUCGUUUCCGCCUGGAGGGCCGAGGCAACAUCGUAAAAUCAUGAAAACAGAUUUGGAGCACCGUGGCACAUAACCGAAGACCUAUAAUUUUCGGAGCCACGAUUCGACGCACGGUUGGUGAGUAUUAGCAAAAUCGGGCCGAACCGGGUGCCUGGUGCCGCGGGAGGCCGAUUGCAAGUGACUACAAGCAAUCGGAGAGCGAAUCGAGAUGGGUUGUGCUCACCGAAGCGACUAGGUCGCCCUUAUGUCUAAGAGAAACGUGGUUUCAUGUUGAUGCAUAUAAAUGGUAGAUGAAUGCAAGGGUUAAAUGCUAGGUGAAUGCAUGUUAAUUGUUAUGCUAUGACUACCAUAGAAUGCACGAUGAGCAUAUUAUAGAAAUGCUAGAUGAUGCAUGUAGAUGAUGCAUGUAAAUAAUGCUAAAUAAUGCAUGUGAGCAUAUUGUAAAGAAUGCAUGUUAGUGACAUAAUGCAAAUAUGCUAGUUAAUACAUGUGUGAUAACAUGAUGAGAAAAUGCUAGAUUAUAUGCAUGUUAACAUAUUAUGAAUAUGUUCUAAUUGUUAAAUGCAAGCUCUAGAUGGUAAAUGUAUAAUGGCAUUAUGAGAUCAUGAGAAAGAUAGACAAAUGUUAACAUGUUGUAGAUCAUGUUAGAAAGAAUAUGCAUGUUGGCAUCAUAUAAUGCAUGCUAGAUAAAAUGUGGAUAUCUAUUGAACUCGAUGUGGACUAUAGGGUUGUCGAAUAGAUCGAGUGGCACUUAACCUAGUGUAUGAAACAUAGGUUGGACAUGAAUGACAAAGAACCUAGUGUUAUUAAACAUAGGUCGUGUGGCAUCUAACCUAGCGUUAAAGAACAUAGGUUGAACACGUGAACCUAGAGUCGAGAUCUAGGUAGAGAUAACAUGUGAACCUAGUGUUGUUGAACCUAGAAUGAAUCAUGAGUGGCAUCUAAAAUAGCGUUAAAGAACAUAGGUUAUGGAUUGAACCUAGAGUUAAAGUAAAUCUAGGUUAUGUGAUAGAGGCGUUGAACCUAGAGUCAAUUGGACCUAGGGUGGAAAAGACAUCAGACCUAGAUAGGUCGAUACUAUAGGAUUUGAGACCAACCCUUGAGUUGUGAAAUGGAUUCCGGAAUCCCUAGUGAUGUGGCCGCAAAAGAAGCGGUGGAAAUUGUGGUAAAAGAGAUGGCAAAGGAAUCAUAACUGCAGGUAUGUGUGGUUCUCCUCGCCUGGCAGUGAUUCAACGGGUAUGUGUGGUUCUCCUCGCCCGAGAUGCCAUGAGAAUAAGCUGGAAUUGGGUAUGUGUGGUUCUCCUCACCCAUUAGCUUAUCGGAUGAUGCCACCUAGAUUGACUUGAACCUUGCUGGGUAAGAGCGAUGUGGUCGCUGCCAGAUGACUAAGUCACAACUUGAACCAUUGUUGGGUGAGGUGCGAUGAGUUCGCCGCCAGAUGGCUAAGUCAUGACUUGAGUUGUUGUUGGGUUCGAUGCGAUGAGUUCGCCACCAAAUGGUUAAGUCAGAUUUGCGGUAGGCUGUGACGGCAGCCAGGCUGAGUUGCAGCCAGUGCGCGAACUAUCCGCGGAUGAUUGACUCGAGGCCGAGUCGGGUGGUUAGCUUGAUUAGGUUAAUGGAAACCUUAUAAGCUAGUGAUUGAGGCAAAAACCUAAGGUAAUAGAGACCUUAGAAGCAAGUUGAACUUGAACUGAGAACCUAAGGUAAUAGAAACCUUAGAAUUGAAUGAAAUGAGCUAAAGUUAGCAAAGUGAAUGUAGAAUCAACAAAUCUACUAGUUUAUACAGUUGCAUAGUUGCAUAAUAUUCUUAUUGCAUAUUGCGAGGCAUGUUAUCUGUUAGUUGCAUAAUUACAUUAUGAUAUAUAUAUAUCUGUAGAUGUUUUUGGACUAACAUGAUUGCAGUGCCUCCUUGGACCUAUCGGUCGAGCUUUUCCCUUGGGUGGCCGUACCCACUGGGAACCAUGGAGUUGGUUCUCACCCGACGUUGUUUUGGGGUGUUUCAGAUUCGCACGUGAGCGGCGCGGCGGCGCGAGGCAAGGGCGUAGCUCCAUAGAUAGCGCCCUACCCCAGAGACCAGAGAUAGCGGUACCCCGAGUCGGCAUAGCCUAGGGGUAUAGUAAAGGGAAAAGAACACAAUGUAUCAAACUUGUAAUAAUAAUUGUAAUAACUUAAUUGCAUUUGGAAGUUGAAUGUAAUGUAAAAUGAAAACUGUGAUGAAUGCUUGUAAUAACAUAGGAUGUGUUAUGUUGUUUGAUACCUUCCUUAUGCAAUCUUGCUUGAAUACUGUUCCUGGUUGGAACUUCUUGUACUUGUAUUGAUUGCGACGCCUAGGACGUAUAGGGGAAACUCUGUCCGUUCGGCAGUCUGUCUGCGGCGCCGCAACCUCGGCCAAAUAGGCGGGUGGUCACGGGUCGUGACACGUUAUGUCGCUGUGAAACCAUCGAGUUCAUCUCUUAUCUCGGCACUAUAGGAUUCAAUGUCACGACCCAAUCCUCAUCUAUCCACUAUAUCAAGCAUUCAACUCACACUAUGAUAUCAACUAGAAAGCAUAAGGAAACGGAUAAUGCACAUAGCAUCCUACAAUGCUAGCUAUAUAAAAGAUGCAAGGUUAUAAUGCACUAAGACAUAAAGAGGAGCCCGGUUGCUUCGGGAUGACACCACCCACCUUCUGGCGUUGUCACGACUCUAGAAAUGCGAUUCGGCGAUUUUACGACGUCAUCUCGGCCUCCCAGGCGAAAACAAAGCUCGGAAGGUCCUUUUUGCCGAUAACUUUGCACAGGUUCGAUGGAUCGUCGAACCGACUUCGCCUACGCGUCGAAAAGCCUAUCAAUUAGGUUUACACAUGAUCUAAUUAGAUCAAACUCUUACUUUUAGCAAAACCCCAUUUUGGAGCCCUAGAUUGCUACUAAUGCAAAAUACUCCAACAAAGCCCUAGAUUCAUGCAUUUAACAUCAAUUAGGCAUGCUAGGAUUCCAACUAAUCCAUUACUAAAGCUUAUAAUCCAAACUCUAAAAAAUCUACCAUUGUAGUUCAAUGGAGCUUACCUCUCUAGCUUGCUCUCAAGGUGGAGAAGACGAUGAUGAAGAUCAAGAUCCCUCCCUUGGCUUCAAUCUCCACCAAAUCCUCCUUCUUCACCUUCUAGAGAGAGAGGAAAAGAGCUUAAAGAGAGAGAGAGUGUGUUUUUGGUAUAGGGUGAGGGAAAUGAGAGAAAGAGAGAGAGGGAUGGCCCUUAAGUAGCCCUUAUAAUGCACAAUUGCUGAAAACCCCCUCCAUAAUGCAAGUUAUGCACAGCCCAACCCAAGACAUUUUCGGGUACGGGGACCGAUCUGUCCCUAGAGGGAUCGGUCCCCGAGAGCAAACUUUACGGGCAAAGUAAUUCUGCCAAUUUUACGCGUACGGGGACCGGUCCUUCACUCUUGAGGGAUCGGACCCUGAGAGCAAUUCUGUGCGCAGCAUUUUUCUGCCACUCACCAAGCUUACGGGAACCGGUCCCUCCCACCAGGGACCGGUCCCCGAGAGCAAAUUCUGCAAGUAUGCAGAAUCAUACCAGCUUGCUCUCCGAGGCCCUUUCCAAUGCACUUUAUGCGUUUUCGAUGCCUUCGGCCUCUCCGAAGAGUGCCGAACUCGACUUCGAUCAAUUUCAAUCGAAGUUCGAAUUCGCGUUUCGAGAUUUCCAAUUCCUUACAGUGUAUGUUAGCAGACUGCAUAACUGUGUGUUUAUAUCCAUGACAUCAUCGAAGCAUACUAGCAUGAUAGUAGGUUUGUUGCUAGAUGAACACUUCAUGUAUUGUUAGCAUUUGAAGGCAUAGUAGAAUGUAGCAGUUCAUUUCUAUCUACCUAUCUAUCUAUCUGCUCAUACCUGCUUAGACCUAGUGGGAAGAUCGGCGGAGUCGGCGGCCGAACCCACUGGGAACUAUAUUUAUAUAGUUCUCACCCCAUUUUGUUGCAGGGCCGAGUUCGAUUGAACCGGGCGAGGACCGUGGUAAGGGCGUAGCGCCCUAGUAGUUAGUAGCUUUUCCUUACUUGCAUUAGAGUACCCCCGUGUACAUAGAUGUUGUGAUAUUUUGGAGAGCUACUUAUGUACAUUGGAGAUGAACCUGUAAACCAUGUAUUGCAUUUUGGGAGAUGAAAAUGUAAAUGUGAUGUAAAUAUUGAAUGUCAAAUGUAAUAGCUAGAUAUAUCUCUCUUUUGUUCACUUGUAUGUUACUUGUGAUUCUUGCUCUUACUUGUAUCGCACUUGUGGUGCUUCGUGUAUGUUGUAUGUCAUCCUGGGCGACAAAAAUGUACACGAUUCUGUUGUUGAGCCUUGGGCGGACAAGAGAGGUGCUGUCUGUUCGGCGUCUGGUCAGCGCGCCCGAACCGACCAAACUAGCGGUUGCGGGGCGUGACACGAAUCCUCCAUGCAAUAGUCCUGGUCUGGAGUGAAUCCAGAUUUGUCUUGUCAUUUUUUCUUAUGCUCAUACUUCUAUAUUUGGAUUAACAUUAAAGCUCGCAAAAAUACAAAAAAAGAAUACAAUUCCAAAAGGAUCCACCAGCAGGUCCCUUCCUUUUGAAUAGUGAAUGAUUAGUGUUGUUGCUACCCCUUUCUCUCUCUCUAUAAGCAUCCGGAAGCUUGCACCAUGUGUGGUUUCCAUUCAAGAAGCAUCAACAUCACAUUAACCAAUCCUACUCUGCUGCCAAGAUCACAGCUGUCUUUUCCUUCUCCCAUACAGGUCUACACCAUGAGAUCAUCAAGUAAGAUCCUUUUCUCUUUCCUAUUCCUCUUUUCAUCUUUCGUUCUCCUCAACCUCAAAUCCUUAUCCAACCUUUAUCUUGUAACCAAGUCCAAAUGCUAAACCCUGAAAUCGUGCUAGACCUAAUUUUUGUAGCCAAGGUCUAACUAAGUGGCAAUUAAGAGAGGCCACUAAUAAUGGAUUGAGGCCUUUGGAUCAGAUUCAAUAGGUUGGGCACAUUGUGAAAGAUGCUAAGGGAACCACAGGUAUAAUCUCAUAUCCUAUUUCUCAUUUCAAUUCUUAAACCAGUUUAUUUGCUUGGUUUUUCUUUGAAGGUUCAUUUUCAUGGCUUAUUCAUUUUCAAAAUCAAUAGCAAUUCUUGAAUUGCCUAUUUCAUGUGUUAUGCAUAUAGGCUUGCACUACAAUUGCCUUUAGGAUAGAAGUUUUGCAUCAUCCGUCUUUGGCAACAUUGGGUUGGCAUUUUACGUUCUUAUUAUAGACAUUUAACUCUAGCACAACACUUAGAAUUAUCCAUAAAAACCGGAUGGCAAAAUCUGCCAAAGAACUGUGAUAAGAUUGUUUUACCAAAUAGUGACCUACUUUAGCUACAGUGCUUAUUUACCAGAGUCUUUGCUGCAACACCUUUUCAAAAUGUCUUUUUGCCAUAGUCACAGCAUUACCAAACUAGGUUUAAAGUGUUUUGCCUUUGUUUAAAUUAUUUCUAUUAGGAAGUUCUACAAAUAAAAAUAACUCCACAAUGUCCUAAAAGGCUAAAAUCUAUUUCUUUCAGCCUUGUUUGGUAUCGCUUCACUUUUUUUUUUUUUUUAAUAACAUAAACUCAUUGAGUGCGAGGGUCGAUGGUGGAGUGCUUGCAAUCCACACAUCUAAGGUUUGUUUGGCAAAAAAAAAAAAAAAAAAACGUGGUCACUUUUUUCAAUUCCAUGUUUUCUUGAAGAUGCCUUCUUGCACCUGACCGGUUGCAUUGCAUGCUAGCCAUUGACGACAAGUGUAGAAGUCCAUCCCCUGGCACAUCCGACCAUGGUAGAACUUUUUAAAAAAGAACUGAAAAAUGGCAACAAUACCAAACAAGACCUUGCUUCAUUAGAAGUUCUAGAUUUGCUUUUGUUUAGUUCUUCUAAAUGUCCUUUUUGUUCUUAUAACUUGUUAAUAGAACUGUAAUAUAAAUAACAGAUCCUACAAAAAGAAGUGCAGCCAUGAAGAAUUAACCCUAAACCCUAAAACCUAAAGAGUGAAAAUUAGUUGAAAAGCAAAUUUAGAAAACCUAGUCAUUAACAUUUUAAUUAUGGUAGUUAUCAACUAAGGAAACCAGUUAUUAAAUUUCAAUAAUGGCAACCAAAAAGCUAUAACUAAAAACUAAAAAGGGUCUAAGAAAUUCUUUUUUUUCCCCAAAACAUGAGAAAAGAAUUAUUUAGCAUUAUGUCACAAACAAUGUUGAGCAAUACUUACCGCUCCACUGUGCAGUCCAUAUACCGACAAAAUGAAACAAGACUUAUCCAGAUCGCAUGUCAAAUAAUACCUGUAAAAUGACGAAUGUAGGAAAUGUCAUCUAAGAUGCAUAACAUUUGUUUAGGAAAAUGUGUGAAGCAUUAGCUGAUCAUGAUAUACGAGAGGAAUUAUGUAUUUCUUCUGUUUCUUAUCUUUAUCCUUAACAAACUAAAUUGUCUUCUAAUGUAAAAAUAAAUAAUAUGAAGAAUAAAUUGAUGCAGACAAAAAACCUAUCAGAGGUUCCAUAUUUGCAAGGAUCUAAAAUAGAAGCAGAUUUACUGAAUCUAUAGAAAUGAUACAACGCAGAAGAACCAAGUUACUUAGAUCUAAAAUUGAUAGAUUAAUGAUUCAAUCUUUAUUUGAUUGAAGUGCUAGUCUACUGUACAAUGGCAAAAUUGUAUGCAGUAGAAGAACAAGAUGACUCAAAUUAAAAUGAAAUGAAAUUUCAGUAACAAGAACUUUUAAAAGAAGCCAAAAUCACCACCUAAAGUAUGAUAUAAGGUAGCACUUAAAUAUGAUACAAGGCAGCAAGCAAGAUACUGAAAGAAUUAUUAUUAAAUGUAUUGAAAUAAACAAUAAAGUUGGACCCACAAAUCUCUAAUUUGUCGAGGACCAGAAAUGGUUCAGAUUGCAAGUAAAAUACAGUUCAUCCAUAAGAGAUUAUCGACGGCACACCCAGAAAAGUCGGUGUGUAAAUUUUAUACAAGUAUGGCAAGACUCACAAUGGUGCUAUAUUGUCAUGCUUUACGAAGAGAAGCACUUUUCCCACAACAGCUACUGCUUUAUUCAACCCUUCUGAAAGGACAUUUAUGGCGGAUUUCUUGGGUGAUGACUUCACUAGAAAGGCAAGUAAUGUAAUAAAUAGAUGAACAAUUAAAUGAACUGACCAAAGUAUACAGCUUCAAAAUGCUCAAGUACCAAAAAGAGGACACUUACAAUUAACUUCAGCCAAGGAUGACAGAAGUGAUGUUAACCGCUUACUUCGGACCUGCUCCUGCAUAAUUAUUUAUGGACGAUUCUAAAGCAACUCUAGAAAUAGAAGUCAUUCUUGCAGAUUCUUGGUUCACUUCUAUCAUAAUCUAAUUCAUUUUCAAGAAAGAAAUUCGCCGAAAGGAGAUAAAACAUUCUUUAUAUAAGUACACUUUGAAGACUAAGCACAAUAAUAGGGCCUUGCUUCGUAUUCUUGCUUUUCUUUUACGCUUUUUCAAACACCAAUUCAACAAGGAGUAAGCAGGAAGAUGGCUUAUUGCUUCAGUCUCUACUCUACAGGAGUUGUUCGGCAACAAAGUACAAAGACUUAAAUAGAAUUUUUCUUUUAUUUUGUUGCUUCUUUGUUUUUUUGAAGAAGAUGGUGUUCUGCAUCAAGCCUGGGCAUAUAAUAAGCUAACCAACAAUGACAACAAGAGAAAAAAUCAACCACCGGAGGUCCGGAACAUCCAUUCACAUAGAAUUUGCUUUUUUUAGAAAAGCACAAAAAACAACAACAGUAUUAAACAACGCCAAGUUUUUGGAACUAUAAUUGACAAAACAAGAACAAUGAAACAAACAGAAAUGCAGUUCAAUAUGCUUAAUGCAAUAUGUUAUGCCAUUUCAUUUCAGUUUUGUAAGCCCAACAUAUGGUAAUAUCAGAAGUACAGUACAUUUUAGAAUCAUAAUUGUAAAACACACCAAAUGUAUCCCACUUUCUAGAAAAAAGAACUUUCCAAACAAUGAAGGACUCGCCAAUAAUUUCACAGAUGUAUCAAACUUUGUAACAAACAGCUGUGAAAUGCUUUUGUGCAGAAAAUAAACAAGCCAUUUAUGUUCUAGCAAAAGAUCCACAGACAGAGUUAAUGAUGCAAAGAUCAGGCGUAAUACCCCAAAUUUCGAGAAAACUCAUAAAGAGUGUUAGCCUAAGUGUUAGGUUCCGGGACAUGGUUAGGUGAUUCCAGAACCUAAGCAGAAGAACAGGGAGAAAAGAGGUUCUGUUUCUAAGAAGCUUGUGGGGAAGGUUCCACAACAUAACCUAGUUUUGGAACACGAAAAUCAUGUUCCGGAAUGUGAGCAGCUGAGGGCUGCGCUUGGGUGUGGGCAAUGAUGCGAGAAGUUAUAUCAUGAGGGGCUUAUUUGUAAUUGUCUUUCCCCUCCCUAUAAGAGGAUCUCUUGUGGAACCCUAGCCCCCUUCUUCUCUCUUCCUCCUCCCCCUCUCCACACACUCCUACUUUCUCACUUCCUCACACAUUUCUCCAUUUUUGAAGGAAAGUAAAUCUUUCUUAUACCUCCUGUAAUACACUGAACUUUUGCAAAUGGCGGAGUUCAAGUGUGUGGAAUGAAAUGUGGAACUAUCCUACAUAUUCUAAAUGACUUGGACAAGUUUUUGAACAAGUUAGAGAGUGAUUGGAGGGUUAAAAGCAAGAAAGUGCGCUGAUCUGGCGAAAUCAGCAGUUUUCUGCUUGGUGUACCGGUACAGCCAUCAUGGUGUACCGGUACACAAUGGUAAAACGUGGCAGCAAGGCUAUUUUGAUCAUUUCACAUCUUGUUCUCAUCUAUUUGAGUCCAGCACAACUCUGGGGGCUCAGGGGAGGUUGCUGAAGCUCUGAGUAAGCUUCUUUCAUCUUCUUCUCUCUCUCUCUAGGGUUUUUCUCUCUCUACAUAAAAGCCGCCAUUUCGCGCAGAUUUCACGCCGCGCUCGUUGCUCGCUGAUUUGGCGACUCAAGGGAUGCCUUCAGCACGUGGGGAGGAGGACUUUUCUCUGAGUUUUCCGUGAGGUUAGUACCAGAGAAGCUCAAUCUCAGCUUUAGAAAAGGAAUGAGCUCAAUUUCUCUCUAGUUUGUGAUUUAACAUUGAAACUUGAUGCAUUUUGGUUUUAUUGCUUCCAACUGAAAUUGAGGCUGUUUUCAGCAGUAAAGAGGAGCUAUUUUGACUGUGAAUUAACUAUUCUAGCUCAGUGAAAAGUUGCUUUAAAGCUGGACUAAGAUGAUUAAGUAUUUAUGAAGCUAGUUCGGAUCUAUAUGAAGUUUAAUCAGGUAACUAAUGCAGUUUGGAAAUGAUGCCUUCGCAGCAGGUUUUUGAACUAUUUGGAGCUUACUUGGUGACCUUGGGGACUGGUCUAGAAGUGUUCUAACCUAAGGUAAGCAGGAAUUUCAGUUAGAAAACUGAAUUCGCAGAAUUCCGACUAUAUUUCUUAGUAUUUGACGAUUUUGUUGCCGUUUUGGAAUAGUUCGAAGCGGGCUUGCAACAGACCUUCGGAUUAUCUCCGGCUGAUGCGUGAGGGAUUUUGGAAGCUUAACUUGAGGUAUUAACGGAGUCAAAACAGGGAUUUAAGCUAUUCCUAUGUACUGAGUGCAAUUGCGCCGAAAUCGGACAUUUCGGUUGUCGUUUUGAUACGAUAUUUAUGCUUUGUGUUCAGCAGGAUUGAGACCUAGUGGAGCUGAUCCUUGGGACUCCUUUGGACUGAUUUGGAGCCUAGUACUAGGUGGGUUUGACCUAACCAGAGCAAGUGAAGCUCCCCUAUGUUCUAUAUAUAACUAUAGAAUCGGUUUAGUAUCGCCUUUACUAAUAAAGGGUUUGAUAUAUAUAUCGUCUUAACAUUUGAUGAAUGAAAUAGAACCUCUAUGAAGUAGAAUGGACACACACAUGCAUAAAGUAUUUAUGUUCAUGUUUAAUUCAGUUGAAUGACAUUCUGGUACAAGUUACUAUGUUCCUAGAAAGUAGAGAACAAUGACAUGCUCGACACUUUAUUGAUUAUAAAGUUGAGAACAAGAACAUGUUUUAUGACUAUAAUGAUAGUGCCAUGAUACUAGAAAGUUUCUAAUGCCAUAUGUAAAUUAGCAUUACUCUCAUAUGUUUAUUAAUCUAGUGGAUACUAGUUGUUGUCAAUAUUGAUUAUAUUGAAAUUCCGAUCAAAGGAUCGAGAGCGAGAUUAUUAUGAGCUAAAUUGUGAUAGUUGAGACAUGUUGGACUGUGGACUUUGCUUGCUUGCCAUCGUGCUCAUUCGCACACGCUUGUGAGGGUAGCUCCCUACAAGCCGGCACUCCGGAGUUGGCCUACGCGACAGUUGCUCGCCCGUGCGGGAUUGGGUGCCGAAGUGGAUUGCCGUGGGGAGUGUAUACUACCACGGGACCAUUAGGCGCGGCGCAAGC